UCGAUGAAGAACGCAGCGAAAUGCGAUAAGUAAUGUGAAUUGCAGAAUUCAGUGAAUCAUCGAAUCUUUGAACGCACAUUGCACCUCUGGUAUUCUGGGGGGUAUGCCUGUUCGAGCGUCAUUGCAACCCUCAAGCAUUGCUUGGUAUUGGAUGCCACCGUGUUGGUGCAUCUCAAAAGUAUUGGUGGUGGCAUUCAGCUUCUAGCGUAGUAAAUCUUCUCGCAUUGGAGUUUGAGUGUCUGAUUGCCAGAACCCCUAAAUUUAUUAAAGGUUGACCUCGGAUCAGGUGGGGAUACCCGCUGAACUUAA
rnacentral:rRNA from 1 species